rnacentral:rRNA from 1 species
AUUGAACGCCGGCGGCAGGCCUAACACAUGCAAGUCGAGCGGUAACACAGGGAGCUUGCUCUCGGGUGACGAGCGGCGGACGGGUGAGUAAUGUCUGGGAAACUGCCUGAUGGAGGGGGAUAACUACUGGAAACGGUAGCUAAUACCGCAUAACGUCGCAAGACCAAAGAGGGGGACCUUCGGGCCUCUUGCCAUCAGAUGUGCCCAGAUGGGAUUAGCUGGUAGGUGGGGUAACGGCUCACCUAGGCGACGAUCCCUAGCUGGUCUGAGAGGAUGACCAGCCACACUGGAACUGAGACACGGUCCAGACUCAUACGGGAGGCAGCAGUGGGGAAUAUUGCACAAUGGGCGCAAGCCUGAUGCAGCCAUGCCGCGUGUAUGAAGAAGGCCUUCGGGUUGUAAAGUACUUUCAGCGGGGAGGAAGGUGUUGAGGUUAAUAACCUCAGCAAUUGACGUUACCCGCAGAAGAAGCACCGGCUAACUCCGUGCCAGCAGCCGCCGUAA